rnacentral:lncRNA from 1 species
AAACAAACAGCAGAAAAGAUAGAAGAUGAUUAAGUGAUGCUCAAUAGAUCUUAAAAAGGCAAAACACAAUAUACAACAAAGUACAUCACAGUUAUGUUCAAUCAAGUUCUGAAGGGAGAAAUGAAAACGCACUAUGUCAAAUAAUCUUUGAGAUAGCACUUGGUGAAUGCAACAUUGCAGCUCAACCUACCACAAUAGUAAAAUGAUAUCACUUAUAAAAUUUGAACUAGUGAUUUUUAACAUCUAAAAUAUUUAUAAUAUAAAAUACCAUACUUACCAUAGAUUUCAAAAGCAAAAGCCAUUUAUCAUGACAAAGUCUUAUCAAUCUUCAUCUAUAUCAUCAUCACCAUACUCACUAUCCUCACUAUCAUCAUCGGGGCGGUCGGGUUGGGGAGGCAAUUGCUUGAUUAGCUGUGAAUCCAUUAACAUCGAUCCUGACAUUUUCCUCAUCCAAAUCCAUACAUGAAUCAUCUAUGUUUUUUGCAUUACAUGGAUCAUCAUGGACAACAACGAUAAGGUCGUAGAGAUCACGAGGCUUCGUCUUUGUUUCUAUAUGCCAAUCAAUAUCUAUGGGAUCUUGGACAUAAAAUACGUGUCCAGCUUGUGAGGCAAGUAUGAGAGUGUCCCCAUCAGAUAUGAGCUUCUCAUGAUUCACUGAUACGAAACCAUAUUCAUCAACCUGCAAACCUGUAGAAUUGCCCUCACUAUUGCACCAAUCACAUUUAAACAAGACGAUCUUCCUUCAUUCCUCAUAAUUUAGCUCAAUGAUAUGUUUUAGCACCCCAUAGUAAUCGAGCUCCCCAUCUAUUGGAUUUCUAUCUUGCCUACUCGCAUAACUAUUUCUUGUUGCACAGACAAAGACACUAUUGUUUUGAUUUUUCUUAUCAAUCAUAUUAACUCGAAAUCUAUAAUCAUUUAUCACAAAACUCUUGUGCUUGUGCUUGUGCUUAAUACACUAAUUUUCUGGACCAUUGGCCAAAACAACCAUAUCUAGGUUGACUAUAGUUGUGGGAUCCAUUUGCAUAUAUCCUCCACCUAAGUGUGUAAGGGAAUAAGUGUAGAUUCAAACAACUUCAAACUUUAUAAUUAUGCAAGUACAUUGUAUGUAAUUUUCUUACUUAUUCUGUAAACCAGUUUGGAAAACUUGUAUAAGAUUCUUGGUCGGCUUCCCACAUCCUUGUUUGACUCUUUCUUCUCCUUCCAUCUUCGAUGUUUCUACUAAUACAAUACAACACAAGCAUAUAUAUUAAUAAGUAAUGAGCAAUGACAUUGCCAACUUAUUUAAAAAAGAGACAAAAAAAAAAAAAACAAAUCAUUAUAAUAAGCAACUUACUCUACGAGUGGUUGGACCUCUGCACAAUUAAGUAGAACGUAUCGAUGUAUGCGAAGCCACUCAUUAUAAUUCAAAUGCACUUCUUUACCCGAGCCUCCAAUAGCGUAACCAAUAUUAAGAAAAAUUGAAUAACCACUAGGCACAUCUCGAUGUUCCCAAUCAGCAUUUUGUCUAGGAUUGGUUCGACGUGUAACUGGAUCUUCCAAGUACAUGGAACAAAACGAGAUGCCCUCCUCAGCGAUGUAUCUUUCAGUAAUUGAACCCUCAGGUUGACUUUUGUUACGAACAUACUUCUUCAGUGUUCAUAAGUUCAUGUUUACGUGUGAGAAUAAUACAAACAUGAUUCAUAAGAAUAUAUACUGAAGAUUAGAGCAAGCACUACCACAUAAAAAAGCAUCAGACUACGACAAAGUAUAGGUGAGUCUUGAUCCUCUUCUUCCCCUGGUAGUGUUUAGGCAUGGAUUGAAGCAAGUUUUUAAGGUUUUGAGGCCGGUUUUGCAGAUUUUGUCUUUGAUUUUCUGGUCACUGUUCGGGGCGGUUUCCGGCCGGUUCCGGCCAUUUUUGGUCGAAGUCUCAGGUGGUGGUGAAGUUGUGUUUCGCUUGCUAAAUUGGUUGUGGAAAUUGCAGCUGGAUACUUAUGUGAGUAAAUCUCACCAAGGUUCACUUUUGAACCUAAUGAUAUAAUGAUAAUGAUGAUGAUGGUGGUUUUAUUAUUAUUCUUUUAAUUGUUUUUUUUUAAAUAUAUGAGCUUGAUCGCCAACGGCUCAUAGGUAAGAUAAAAAAACAAGUCUUCUUUAUAUUGUGACGUUGAGAAUAAUAAUGUGAGAUAUAUCAUGUUGUUGACGAUAAUAAUUGUGAUAAUGUGUUGUGAGGUCAUUGUUGUGAAAUUUAUUAUGAUUGUUGGAUAAAUAGCCAAACCGGGUUCCAAGCCCUUUUUGGGUGAUUGGGUGCGGUUAAGAUGUUAUUUAUCAUUUUUGUGUUUGAUAUUAGACAGUCAAACCGGGUUCCAAGCCUUUGGCCGGGUGAUUGGUUACGGUUAGGAAUAGAGCUCUAGUCCGUCUGUCAGUGUAGGUCAUGGGAGAUACUGUAUGGUAUCUGGGACCCAUGGGUACACAUAGUGUUGUUGUAGGUCAUGAGAGGUAUUUUAUUAAAUAUCUGGGACUCAUGGGUACAUCUCUUGGGUAAUGUGUUUGAUGUGUGGUUUGAAAUUAUUGAUCCAAUCUCUCUUGUGAAUAUUGGAUGUGAUAAAUGUUGUGUUGUUUUUGAGUUUACUCAUACAAGCUUUUUAGCUUACCGGGUGUGUUGUUUACAACCCGGUGCACCAUUUCUUGGUGUAGGGGUUAGACCUGCAGGUGAGGAUCAGCAGGGUUGAGAUGGAGGCGUAGUGGCAGGGUUUUUUGUUGGGUUUUGGGUGUGUCUUUGUAUAUUCUUUUAUAUACACGGGGAUAAGAAUUAUUAAACUCAUGUGAGCGUUUUCUUUCUUGUUCUCAAGUUAUGUAAACAAGGAAAUGUAAUAUUUAACUCAAUUUGGAGUUGUGUGUAAAUUUACAUUACGCAUUGAGUUUAUUUUCCUUGAUUUUUGUUGAAACAGGUUUUGGGACAUUAAUAUUUUAGGAUAUAUCAUGCCAAAAUUUUUGAAAUUUAUCUUUCAAAAAAAUAGGGGUGUGACACUAGUAAUGCCACACUUGUUCUUAGAACUGUUAUAUGACAUGGACUCAGAAGUUGGUUUUAAUGAAAAUUUUCAAUUUAAUUUAUUUCCAAUUAUAUAUAUUUUAUUAUAUCUUUUUUCAUAAUCCAAUUUUAUAUUUAGAAUAAAAAUAAUUUUAAUAAAAAUAAAUAUUCAAUACACAUUAAUUUCAAUAAAAGUAAAGAGAGAAAAAAUGUAUUCCCAUCUUUUUUAUUCCUUUCUCAAUCAUCAUUACAAUAUCCAUAUUGAAGAACAAUUUUUAAAACAUUACAUAAUACAAG